UUACUUUAUGCCCUUACGAUGUUAUACAUACACUUUUUAUACGAUAAAAAGAAAAAUGGUAUAAUGUAUUUUAUUUACACGAAACCCAUUGUAAGUAACAAUUAUCACUCGAAAUUUCCACUCCAAAUGUUAAAGUCGAACUACUUGUAUUUAUACAAUUAACUUAAAACAAGCUUUUCCCUAACUGUAAUAUCAUAUGUUAAGUAAGGUUAAUUUAGAUUGGAUUUAGAGUCAUACAGUACGAUGUUAUAUGACAGUAAUAUGUUUAUUAUAAUAUAAAAAUGGGAUAAGGACAUUCUGUCAAAUUUACACAGUUGAAGGACAUAAGGCUGACAGCCAAAUGGCAGGAACUAUCUGACAACGCCAAGUGACGAAAAUACAACAACGUAAUUAUAAACAUAAAAGCUAAAAAAAAAAGAUGUUAAUAUGCACUUAUAUCAAGUCAAAUGUUAUCAUAAUGGUAUUGAGGAAAUUACAAAUCAAUUACAACAGAAAUUGGCAGAAUCACAAUUAUUUCGUCGGGAAAAACUAGACCAAAAGAAAUUACAAAAUAUAUCAAACGUCAAAUUCAAAUAAAAACCAGUAUCAGUCGUAAAAGGAAACCAGUUCUAAACAAUAGGAUUAUUUAGAAUCAACCAGUUAAUAAAAUCAAAAUGACCUGCACCGAAGCGAUGACAUUAAGCAGAAGACAGCGGAACUCACCGAAUUGACACAAACAUCUUCCAAACACUCAAGUUUCAUUGCUGGGUAGUUAAAACGAAGUUGGAUAUUUUCUUAUAAUCUG